UCCCUGGUGGUCCAGUGGUUAAGACUUUGCCUUCCAAUGCAGGUAGUCCAGGUUCAAUACCUGGUCAGGGAG
rnacentral:tRNA from 1 species